rnacentral:rRNA from 1 species
UACCAGCACCCCGAGUGGUCGGGACGUUUAUUGGGCCUAAAGCAUCCGUAGCCGGUUCUACAAGUCUUCCGUUAAAUCCACCUGCUUAACAGAUGGGCUGCGGAAGAUACUAUAGAGCUAGGAGGCGGGAGAGGCAAGCGGUACUCGAUGGGUAGGGGUAAAAUCCGUUGAUCCAUUGAAGACCACCAGUGGCGAAGGCGGCUUGCCAGAACGCGCUCGACGGUGAGGGAUGAAAGCUGGGGGAGCAAACCGGAUUAGAUACCCGGGUAGUCCCAGCUGUAAACGAUGCAGACUCGGUGAUGAGUUGGCUUAUUGCUAACUCAGUGCCGCAGGGAAGCCGUUAAGUUUGCCGCCUGGGAGUACGGUCGCAAGACUGAAACUAAAGGAUUGGCGGGGAGCACCACAAGGGGUGAAGCCUGCGGUUC